UGCGCCACUGCACCCCAGGCUGGGCGACAGAGCGAGACUCUGUCUCAAAACAAACAAACAAACAAACAAAAACUCUAGGUGUCGGGGAACAGGAGCCACGUCCACUCCAGAAAUUAGGCAUCAGGACUAGGAGCCCUUAGAAAUUUAGGCGGUGGCUCACGCCUGUAAUCCCAACACUUUGGGAGGCCGAGGAGGGCAGAUCACGAUGUCAGUAGAUCGAGACCAUCCUAACACGGUGAAACCCCGUCUCUACUAAAAAUACAAAAAAUUAGCCGGGUGUGGUGGCGGGUGCCUGCAGUCCCAGCUACUCGGGAGGCUGAGGCAGGAGAAUGGCGUGAACCUGGGAGACGGAGCUUGCAGUGAGCUGAGAUAGUGCCACUGCACUCCAGCCUGGGCAAAAGAACAAGACUCUGUCUCAAAAAAAAAGAAAAAAAGAAAUUUAGUCAGGGCUUGGAUUUCAGGUACCUUAUGGAAGAAAUCAGAGGUCAGGCUUUUCUGCUGCCACCACCUGCUUCAGCCAGGUAACCCUCAGCAACCAGGUGCACUGAUCCAGGAUCACUGGCUCUCUAUGCUGCUGCUGCUGCUGCUGCUGCUACUGAUGAUGAUUGCUAUUAUUUUUGAGACAGGGUCUCGCUCUGUCACCCAGGAUGGAGUGCAGUGGGAUGACCAUGGCUCACUGCAGCCUUAAUCUCCUGGGCUCAAGCGAUCCUCCCACCUCAGCCUCUGGAGUAGCUGGGACGACAGACACUUGCCAUCACGCCUGGCUAAUUUGUAAAAUUAUUAUUCUCUAAAGAGAAGAGGUUGCCCCAUCCUGCCUAGGCUGGUCUCAAGCUCCUGGGCUCAAGAGAUCCUCCUGCCUGGGCCUCCCAAAGUGCUGGGAUUACUGGUGCGAGCCACCACACCCUGCCUAAACGCUUAUGUAAAAGAUGAUGCUUUUGUUGGUCACAGGGCCCGGCCUCCUGUGCUUUCUGACUGGCAACCUCUUCCCCAGCUUAACAUCCCACUCCAAUGUCAUCCCUGCUGAAACCAGACCAUCCCUAUCCACUGCAUCCAAAGUGACAGCCUCAAUUAGGCAUUUUUUCAUGGUGCCUCUUCCUCUGGGCCACAAGAAGGCCCACUGAUGCCACCCAAACCCCCAUCUCACCUGCGUCCCAGCCUGGCCUGGUCAGCCUCAUCAUUUCCAAGACAGAUACUCACAGUGGUCCUUUCCCGGGGACAGUACUGAGCCAGGAGCUAGAUGCCGGUGUUACCCCUCCCUGCCCACCCAUUCCUAUGGGGGUGCAGAAAGGCAGAACCAGCCUGCUGUGGGCACAGCACCCCUGGCAGUUUGACCUGAGCAGCCAGGGCCAGACCUGGCCCUGGGGACGUCCAGGAGGUAAGGAGGUUGGAUGCCCGGAAGCCUUGGGCCAGCCCUUCCAGGAACACACGUGCACAGGGCUUUCUAUGCUCUUUUUUUGUUUUUUAAUUUUUUACAAAACCGUGUGUCCCGGCCAAUCAGGACAGUGCAGGCCUCCCCCAGGCUGCUGGGAGAGAAGG
rnacentral:lncRNA from 10 species